rnacentral:lncRNA from 1 species
AUGUUACCGGGGGGAGGGGGAGGGGGCGGCGGCGGGGGCGGGAGGGGGAAGGGGCCGGCGGGAGCUGCUCUCCGCUCGGCGGCCGCCGCGCCCGCAGUCUGGAGGCGCACCGGAGCGGCCGGGGCGCCCCCCGCGGGAGCCCGCAGCCACCGGGGCGCGCAUCCAGCCGCGGCUCCUCGGCCGGGCACGCUGCGCCCGGGGGCUAGGCGGACCCCGCGCCGCCGCCGCUUCGGAGCUUGUGCGGCGCGGGCUGGCCGGCGGGGCGGCGAGGGCCCAACCCGCCUCCCCAGCGCCCGCCCCGGCUUCUCCCCCUGGCGGUGGAGCCUCGGCGGCCGCCGGCACCAGCAGGCGCGCUGGAGCCCGAGCCGAGCCGAGCCCGAGCCGCCGCCGCCGCCGCGCGCCGCUCCCAGGCUCCCUCCCAGCGCGCCGGCCGGGGUGUGGGGGGCGGCGGGCCGAGGGGCGAUGGAGGGUGGGGGGCGCGCCCUGGGGCUGGCGCCGAAGACCGGACCCUCCUCUGCCAGGGACCAGAUGAAAUAGACAUCCUGAAGCUGAAGGUUGGAAGAGUAUGUUUAAGAUAAUUUGUCCAGUCAAACCUUUAGGGGCCAUCAACGCAAACAUCUUCGGUGAAGAGGAACUCACCACUUACCUCCCUAAAGGCAGGGAUUUUACCUACAAAAUACUUACACAGAGUAGAGUUCAGUGUAUAUUGUGUGAGUGAAUGAGUACUCUCCUAAGUAGUUCAUUCCAUCUUUGUACACUUUAUUGCGUUUUUUCUUAAACUGCACAGAAUUGGUCUUUCUGAAACUUUCAACCACUACUCUUAGUUCUGCCAUUUGCAGCAAAACAGGAGAAAUCUGUUGUAUUAGUCAGAAUAGACUGUGUUAUGCCAGAGUACCAAACAAUUCUGAUUUUUAGUGACCUAUCAUGGCAAAAGUUGUUUUCUCGGUCAUGCUAUGAGUGCAUUGUAGGUCAGCUGGUCUGUCCCAUGUCUCCUCAUUCACGAUCCCAGGCUGACAGAAUAGUUACCAUCUUGAAUGUUUUAUGUUGCUAUGGCAAAAAUAAGGAUCACUCUGGGGAUCUCAUAUUGGCAUUUAAAUGCUGUGGGCAGAAGUGAUACACGUCAUUUGGGCUCACAAAUAAUUGGCCAGUAUUAGUUGCCUGGCUCCAUGGAAUCAUCACAAUGAGGCCAGAGAGUGCAGCCUACCUUGUGCCCAAAAAUAGAGAGCUAUGGUGCAUAACUCUAAGAGCUACAUGCUCCUAGUGACCCUUGUCUACAUGAUAGCCUCCAGCUAAAUGAUCUCUUCCUGCCACUUUGUGCCCCAAAUAUUCCAUUCUUUAGGGUAAACACUGCAGGAGAGGCCACCGGCUUAUAGGGAGAUACGUUGUGACUUCUUUCACCACCUACUCUCUCUCUCUCAGUGCAGCACCACAGUACCCCCUUCCCUUGCAAAGUGUGGCACCCUAUCAAUUUUAAGUCACUCUUUAUUAUAGACAUUUUAUUUUCUAAGACUUGAUUUCCUGGACAGGGUACAAUGAACAGGAACUUUUAAGAAGCGUUAUCUCUGAAGAUGUCAUGAUCAUUAUCAAAAUUUGAAAUUUGGUUUGAGUAGUUCCUUCCCUUAUUUUAAACAUCAAAAUCCUGUAACACAAAUAAAAAAUUCUCUUGGCAGUAUUCA